UACGAACCGUGCGAACGUUGUUCGGAAUCACUGGGCUUAAAGGGCGCGUAGGCGGUUUGCCAAGUCAGGGGUGAAAUCCUGCAGCUCAACUGUAGAAGUGCCUUUGAUACUGGCGAACUCGAGGGAGGUAGGGGUGGGUGGAACUUCUGGUGGAGCGGUGAAAUGCGUUGAUAUCAGAAGGGAACGCCGGUGGCGAAAGCGACCCACUGGAUCUCUACUGACGCUGAGGCGCGAAAGCUAGGGGAGCAAACGGG
rnacentral:rRNA from 1 species